rnacentral:tRNA from 1 species
UUGAAGCAAGUGCAAUAGAGAGAAGUUGGUCAACCAAAAGGUCGAGCAAGGGAUUAACCGAGAGGUUAAAGAGUAGAAAUCUUUCAAACUAUUGCCUAGGCGAGGUAAAAGGCAAGGGCUAUUAGCUCAGCUGGUUAGAGCGCACCCCUGAUAAGGGUGAGGUCUCUGGUUCAAGUCCAGAAUGGCCCACCUAACCAAAAAAGCCAAAGAGAAGGAUAAACCCUUCAGCAUCCUGUCUGAUGAGAGUCAGAGGGAAUGCUGGAUGUAAGUCCAGUAAGGACCUUGAAAACUGCAUAAAGAAAAGAGAAAGCAGGGAAAAUCUUGCUCUUCCCAACCGUUUUGAUGUUAACCACAAGGCUUUUGGCUGAGUGUGAGACUGAAGGGCGGUGAAGGUAGGAGGAAAGAUGAUCCUAGUUAGCAAAAAGAAGAUCUUAAAAAGGUCAAGCUACAAAGGGCUAACGGUGGAUACCUAGGCACACAGAG